AGAGCUUGCUCUUAUGAAGUUAGCGGCGGACGGGUGAGUAACACGUGGGUAACCUGCCCAUAAGACUGGGAUAACUCCGGGAAACCGGGGCUAAUACCGGAUAACAUUUUGAACUGCAUGGUUCGAAAUUGAAAGGCGGCUUCGGCUGUCACUUAUGGAUGGACCCGCGUCGCAUUAGCUAGUUGGUGAGGUAACGGCUCACCAAGGCAACGAUGCGUAGCCAACCUGAGAGGGUGAUCGGCCACACUGGGACUGAGACACGGCCCAGACUCCUACGGGAGGCAGCAGUAGGGAAUCUUCCGCAAUGGACGAAAGUCUGACGGAGCAACGCCGCGUGAGUGAUGAAGGCUUUCGGGUCGUAAAACUCUGUUGUUAGGGAAGAACAAGUGCUAGUUGAAUAAGCUGGCACCUUGACGGUACCUAACCAGAAAGCCACGGCUAACUACGUGCCAGCAGCCGCGGUAAUACGUAGGUGGCAAGCGUUAUCCGGAAUUAUUGGGCGUAAAGCGCGCG
rnacentral:rRNA from 1 species